rnacentral:rRNA from 1 species
UACGAAGGGGGCUAGCGUUGCUCGGAAUCACUGGGCGUAAAGCGCACGUAGGCGGCUUGUUAAGUGAGGGGUGAAAUCCUGGAGCUCAACUCCAGAACUGCCUUUCAUACUGGCAAGCUAGAGUCCGGAAGAGGUGAGUGGAACUCCUAGUGUAGAGGUGGAAUUCGUAGAUAUUAGGAAGAACACCAGUGGCGAAGGCGGCUCACUGGCCCGGUACUGACGCUGAGGCGCGAAAGCGUGGGGAGCAAACAGG